CCCCUGGCCAACGAGCUGGCUUCGGGCAGCGGCGGCCCCGCGGCGGGCGACGACGAGGACGGACAGAACCUUUGGUCCUGCAUCCUCAGCGAGGUCUCCACGCGCUCGCGCUCUAAGCUCCCGACCGGGAAGAACGUGCUGCUGCUGGGAGCCAGAGACUGGGUCGUGAUGAGUGUUAUUUGAAUCAGCGUUCUCCCGUUCUCCUGGCGCUGUGCUCGGGUUGCAGCUGCCUUUUUGACUGUCACCUAAUAACUCUGAAAUUUGUAAAGGGCAGUAGAACAGCGGUCUCAUUUAGUUCCUUCAGCCGAAUGGCUAGAAUAAGGAAGACAUGUCUCUCCC